UUAAGCGACUAAGCGUACACGGUGGAUGCCCUGGCAGUCAGAGGCGAUGAAGGACGUGCUAAUCUGCGAAAAGCGUCGGUAAGGUGAUAUGAACCGUUAUAACCGGCGAUGUCCGAAUGGGGAAACCCAGUGCAAUUCGUUGCACUAUCGUUAACUGAAUACAUAGGUUAACGAGGCGAACCGGGGGAACUGAAACAUCUAAGUACCCCGAGGAAAAGAAAUCAACCGAGAUUCCCCCAGUAGCGGCGAGCGAACGGGGAGCAGCCCAGAGUCUGAAUCAGCUUGUGUGUUAGUGGAACGGUCUGGAAAGUCCGACGGUACAGGGUGAUAGUCCCGUACACCAAAAUGCACAGGCUGUGAACUCGAAGAGUAGGGCGGGACACGUGGUAUCCUGUCUGAAUAUGGGGGGACCAUCCUCCAAGGCUAAAUACUCCUGACUGACCGAUAGUGAACCAGUACCGUGAGGGAAAGGCGAAAAGAACCCCGGCGAGGGGAGUGAAAAAGAACCUGAAACCGUGUACGUACAAGCAGUGGGAGCACCUUCGGGUGUGACUGCGUACCUUUUGUAUAAUGGGUCAGCGACUUAUAUUCUGUAGCAAGGUUAACCGUAUAGGGGAGCCGCAGGGAAACCGAGUCUUAACUGGGCGUUAAGUUGCAGGGUAUAGACCCGAAACCCGGUGAUCUAGCCAUGGGCAGGUUGAAGGUUGGGUAACACUAACUGGAGGACCGAACCGACUAAUGUUGAAAAAUUAGCGGAUGACUUGUGGCUGGGGGUGAAAGGCCAAUCAAACCGGGAGAUAGCUGGUUCUCCCCGAAAGCUAUUUAGGUAGCGCCUCGUGAACUCAUCUUCGGGGGUAGAGCACUGUUUCGGCUAGGGGGUCAUCCCGACUUACCAACCCGAUGCAAACUACGAAUACCGAAGAAUGUUAUCACGGGAGACACACGGCGGGUGCUAACGUCCGUCGUGAAGAGGGAAACAACCCAGACCGCCAGCUAAGGUCCCAAAGUCAUGGUUAAGUGGGAAACGAUGUGGGAAGGCACAGACAGCCAGGAUGUUGGCUUAGAAGCAGCCAUCAUUUAAAGAAAGCGUAAUAGCUCACUGGUCGAGUCGGCCUGCGCGGAAGAUGUAACGGGGCUAAACCAUGCACCGAAGCUGCGGCAGCGACACUAUGUGUUGUUGGGUAGGGGAGCGUUCUGUAAGCCUGCGAAGGUGACCUGUGAGGGUUGCUGGAGGUAUCAGAAGUGCGAAUGCUGACAUAAGUAACGAUAAAGCGGGUGAAAAGCCCGCUCGCCGGAAGACCAAGGGUUCCUGUCCAACGUUAAUCGGGGCAGGGUGAGUCGACCCCUAAGGCGAGGCCGAAAGGCGUAGUCGAUGGGAAACAGGUUAAUAUUCCUGUACUUGGUGUUACUGCGAAGGGGGGACGGAGAAGGCUAUGUUAGCCGGGCGACGGUUGUCCCGGUUUAAGCAUGUAGGCUGGUUGUCCAGGCAAAUCCGGAUAAUCAAGGCUGAGGUGUGAUGACGAGGCACUACGGUGCUGAAGUAACAAAUGCCCUGCUUCCAGGAAAAGCCUCUAAGCAUCAGGUAACAUUAAAUCGUACCCCAAACCGACACAGGUGGUCAGGUAGAGAAUACCAAGGCGCUUGAGAGAACUCGGGUGAAGGAACUAGGCAAAAUGGUGCCGUAACUUCGGGAGAAGGCACGCUGGUGUGUAGGUGAAGUCCCUGCGGAUGGAGCUGAGACCAGUCGAAGAUACCAGCUGGCUGCAACUGUUUAUUAAAAACACAGCACUGUGCAAACACGAAAGUGGACGUAUACGGUGUGACGCCUGCCCGGUGCCGGAAGGUUAAUUGAUGGGGUUAUCCGUAAGGAGAAGCUCUUGAUCGAAGCCCCGGUAAACGGCGGCCGUAACUAUAACGGUCCUAAGGUAGCGAAAUUCCUUGUCGGGUAAGUUCCGACCUGCACGAAUGGCGUAAUGAUGGCCAGGCUGUCUCCACCCGAGACUCAGUGAAAUUGAACUCGCUGUGAAGAUGCAGUGUACCCGCGGCAAGACGGAAAGACCCCGUGAACCUUUACUAUAGCUUGACACUGAACAUUGAGCCUUGAUGUGUAGGAUAGGUGGGAGGCUUUGAAGCGUGGACGCCAGUCUGCGUGGAGCCAACCUUGAAAUACCACCCUUUAAUGUUUGAUGUUCUAACGUUGGCCCCUUACCGGGGUUGCGGACAGUGUCUGGUGGGUAGUUUGACUGGGGCGGUCUCCUCCCAAAGCGUAACGGAGGAGCACGAAGGUUAGCUAAUCCUGGUCGGACAUCAGGAGGUUAGUGCAAUGGCAUAAGCUAGCUUGACUGCGAGCGUGACGGCGCGAGCAGGUGCGAAAGCAGGUCAUAGUGAUCCGGUGGUUCUGAAUGGAAGGGCCAUCGCUCAACGGAUAAAAGGUACUCCGGGGAUAACAGGCUGAUACCGCCCAAGAGUUCAUAUCGACGGCGGUGUUUGGCACCUCGAUGUCGGCUCAUCACAUCCUGGGGCUGAAGUAGGUCCCAAGGGUAUGGCUGUUCGCCAUUUAAAGUGGUACGCGAGCUGGGUUUAGAACGUCGUGAGACAGUUCGGUCCCUAUCUGCCGUGGGCGCUGGAGAAUUGAGGGGGGCUGCUCCUAGUACGAGAGGACCGGAGUGGACGCAUCACUGGUGUUCGGGUUGUCAUGCCAAUGGCACUGCCCGGUAGCUAAAUGCGGAAGAGAUAAGUGCUGAAAGCAUCUAAGCACGAAACUUGCCCCGAGAUGAGUUCUCCCUGAGACUUUAAGUCUCCUGAAGGAACGUUAAAGACGAUGACGUUGAUAGGCCGGGUGUGUAAGCGCAGCGAUGCGUUGAGCUAACCGGUACUAAUGAACCGUGAGGCUUAACCUU
rnacentral:rRNA from 1 species